GCAGAGGUUACCGAGUCUGGACAAAGGUGCCAGAUUAAGGGUCUGGUUCCGAAGGGGUUCGCGGGUUCAAAUCCCGUCCUCUGCA
rnacentral:tRNA from 5 species